UCUAAUGUAUGCUUGAAGAAAACAUUGACUUGGUAGAUUCUCUGUAAUGAAAACUUCGUCCCCAGUUAUUAGAUAGAUCUUCACAUACAAUUUGUAUCUCUUCAUCUUGUAUUUUCCAAACAGUUUCGGCCAUGAUUUCACAAACAUCUAUAACCAGCCUUCUGUUUAUCCUUCUCUGAUAGAAGUUAUAUUUGAAAUAUAUGCAAAUAUAAAUAUGAAAUAUGGUUUAAGAAUUGAAUUAUCGAUGAAUGUAUGAUGAUAUGAUAAUGUAUUGUAAAUUGAUACUGUAGGAUGAUCGAUUGAUGAAGCGAUGAUCCACAGCUUGUUGAAGUGAGUUGAAUGUGAUUGAACUUGAAUCUGUGAUUCAAGUUGUUGUAUUGCGGAAGCGUUUGAUGAUUGGCAAUUCCAGUUGCAGAGUUGAUCAGACAGAGUAACACAAAGUCUGUAUUGUAAUACAGAGUGUGUGGAUGUGUGUGUGAUCGUGUGUUAAACUUAAACUAGGAUUAGAUAAGUUUAUAUAGAAGAACACCCAACGGCUAUGUUGGUUGGGUGUAUUUAAUUAUGGUAAUUAAUGUAUAUAGGAAUGUGUAAUAUGGAUUUGGGAAUUAAUAUAAGAUUGAAUAUUUGAUUGAUAUUUAAAUAUGAAAAGAUGUAAUGAGAAUGUGAAGAGUUGUGAUGAAAUAAGAGGG
rnacentral:lncRNA from 1 species